rnacentral:lncRNA from 1 species
UCCCCUCGGUGGGUGCUGGGCGCCCCGUUCACGCUCGUCUCCCCAGCACGGGCGGCUCAUCGAGGCGCUGCGGAAGGAGGUGGCCGAGAGCCGGGAGAGGCAGCGGGCGGCCGAGGCCCGGGUGGACGCGGCGGAGGCUCAGCACCGCGGCCUGCRGCAGGAGCAGGCUCAGCACCGCGAGCAGCUCGAGCACCUCCGGCAGCAGCUGGAGGAGGCCAACGCUCGCUUGGCCAACCUGGGCGCCAGGUUGACGUCCGCCGAGGGCACCCGCAAGAAGGACCUGGAGAGGCUGAAGGCCAGCGAGGAGAAGGGCAGAGCGCUGGUAAGAGCCAGGAGACGGGCAGCUGGCUCACCCCGGGUGCGGGCAGAGCCGGGUGAGGGCCCCAGUGUCCCGCGGCAAGGGGCUGACAUGGUGGCCUUGCAGGAGAACCGGCUGUUGGCACUGGAGCGGGAGCAUGAGGAGCUGCGCGGUGCCAUCGCCCAGCUCCGGGGCCAUCCCGGCAGGACGGCGCGCCGGGCGCUGCUGAGCUGGGACGAGAACGGCGACGAUGCCCAGGCCACCAGCGUGUGACGGCCCCGGCGCUGGGACCAGCAUGGCUCCGCUCCCUUCAUCCCCUUUGGUCCCCACCGUGUACCCAUUGCCCGUCGGUGGCCUGGCACCCGCUGUCACCUUCACCAGCACCCGGAGCUGCCUCUCCCUGGCCCCUUCUGAGGGUUGUUUAACCCCCAUCUCCCAGGGUCUCCUGUCCCCAGGCAAUAAAGUGUCGGUGUUGCUGCGAUA